AUUGGAGGGCAAGUCUGGUGCCAGCAGCCGCGGUAAYUCCAGCUCCAAUAGCGUAUAUUAAAGUUGUUGCGGUUAAAAAGCUCGUAGUUGGAUUCCUGUUGCGAGCAGGCGGUGCCGUCUAUGGCGUGCACUGCCUGGCUCGGACAAUUCAUCGGACUGUUCGGGGUGCUCUUAACCGGGUGUCCCGAGUGGCCGAUACGUUUACUUUGAACAAAUUAGAGUGCUUAAAGCAGGUGCACUGCGCCUGAAUAUCACAGCAUGGAAUGAUGGAAUAGGACCUCGGUCUUAUUUUGUUGGUUUUCUGGACCCGAGGUAAUGGUUAAUAGAGACAGACGGGGGCAUUCAUACUGCGACGCUAGAGGUGAAAUUCUUGGACCGUCGCAAGAUGAACAACUGCGAAAGCAUUUGCCAAGAAUGUUUUCAUUAAUCAAGAACGAAAGUUAGAGGUUCGAAGGCGAUCAGAUACCGCCCUAGUUCUAACCAUAAACGAUGCCAACCAGCGAUGCGCCAAAGUUACUCCAAUGACUUGGCGUGCAGCUUCCGGGAAACCAAAGUCUUUGGGUUCCGGGGGAAGUAUGGUUGCAAAGCUGAAACUUAAAGGAAUUGACGGAAGGGCACACCAGGAGUGGAGCCUGCGGCUUAAUUUGACUCAACACGGGAAACCUCACCAGGCCCGGACACUGGAAGGAUUGACAGAUUGAGAGCUCUUUCUUGAUUCGGUGGGUGGUGGUGCAUGGCCGUUCUUAGUUGGUGGAACGAUUUGUCUGGUUAAUUCCGAUAACGAACGAGACUCUAGCCUACUAAAUAGGUGGCGGGUUCUUCCCGUCCGCUACUCUUCUUAGAGGGACAGGCGGCGUCUAGCCGCAUGAUAAUGAGCAAUAACAGGUCUGUGAUGCCCUUAGAUGUCCUGGGCUGCACGCGCGCUACACUGAAGGAACCAGCGUGUCUUCCCUGCCCGAAAGGGCCGGGUAACCGCUGAAUCUCCUUCGUGGUUGGGAUUGGGGACUGCAAUGAUCCCCAUGAACCAGGAAUCCCUAGUAGGCGCAAGUCACUAGCUUGCGUCGACUACGUCCCUGCCCUUUGUACACACCGCCCGUCGCUACUACCGAUUGAAUGAUUUAGUGAGGCCUUCGGACGGACCGAUCGGGCAGAGUUUCGGCUUUGCCUCGGCCGGACUGGAAGAUGGUCGAACUUGAUCCUUUAGAGGAAGUAAAAGUCGUAACAAGGUUUCC
rnacentral:rRNA from 1 species